UAAAAUCAAGAUGCAAAAAUAGAAUCAGGCUAACUGGGGUGGUAAUAAGUAUCAAAGAAUAAGAAAAUUACCCAUUGAUUUGUUUUAAAAUGUUUUCUUGGGGAAAAUCAUCCCUCCUAAAAUUGCUAAGAAGGUAUAAUCCAUAAACGUAGACAUGUUAAGCUAUGAUCACAAACAGUAUAAGCUAAACAAUGAAGAUUUAGAUAACAGUGUGCUUGUCUUACUGGAAUAUGGUUUUCUUUCAGCAAGAAAAAUUCUAAAUAACUGGGUCUUUCACAUGUGUCAGUUUAUGGAUUCAAGUAUUUUGUUCACUAGUGCUAUGUAAAGCAAAUCAACCUUAUUUUAAAUUCAACUGAAUGUUUUGAAAAAUUUUAGAUGUAUACAUUCUUAAUAGGCUAGAUGGGCCUUGUUCUCACACUUGCUGAUUUGGAGUUACCUGAGAACUCAUUGAUCUAUUACAUACAUGGACCAGUAUAGUGAUCUAUCCUGUUUCUUGCAGUCACUGGUGCCUGUACUGAGCCGAGUUUUGAGCACAAACAUGCAGUAUUGUAUCUCUCCUACAUGAUACUCCAAUAAGGUGGUACUCAGGUUAACUAGUGGUUGUCCUUAGGACAAAAUAAGUUUCUUGGUUUGUGAAUUUUGACAUUUUUCUUUUUGACUUUAAUGUACAGAGUAUAAAAUUGGCAUGUAUCUAUAAGACUGUAAAAGCAGAAUUUAAGGCUAAAUUAAAGUAGUUGGCUGUGUCCAUAUUUUAGACUAUGAAAUUUAGAGCUUUCUACUAGAUCAAAUUCUUCAUAAGCAUUCAUAUAUUCCCUCAUACUUAAUGUUGCUUGUGUGCUUCAAGACCAAGUAGCUUUGCACAGGUCCAGCUCCUGUAUCAAUAUGGUAUAGUGACUGAGAGCCUAUCAAGUGUGUAGGUGUGCCAGAUGAAUUCAGCUAAGUACAGAUGAUAGCCUUCCCAAAAUGGCAGCAUACUGAUUGCUGAUAAAUUCUAACAGCAGAAUCAGAAAGUUAUCCAAACAAAUUUAUCUGUUGCUGUUUAGAAAGCUGGUAGCUUUUAGGUAUGGGGCACGCCAGGACAGUUAUUGUGAUGUCGUCCUACUUCACAGUGGACUGCUGUGUUUCAUCAGUCAAGGCAGGUGUUUGUUGGUUCUAAGAGCAGAGGGUAGGCUAAGCUCCAGCCUGAAUCUUUGUGGAAGUCACUAGACAGAGCCUUACAGAAGUUAAUGUAUUUUCUUUGAGAAAUGGACAUACAAAACAUGGAACUCCAUUUGUUCAGAUGUUUACAAAGCAUUUGGCUUUCUAUUGCUGCACAUGAAUAGUAUCUUGACAGUUAUUACUUUUUUGUUUUUCUAAAUCCAUGUGAAAGCACACCCAGAAUGCAUGAAGGACAGACAUCUUGGUGGACUUGGUUCUCUACCGUGAGCUGGUGAAAUGAUUCUGCCGGUAAAGGUACUUAUAGCCAGUGCUGACAGAUGAACGGAUGGAAAGUAAGCGCCAGUUCUCACAAGUUGUCCCCUGACAUGCACCUUGGCAAGCAUGCCCUUACACAAGUGUAUCCACACACUAACUAAUUCUAAAGAUUCAUUGUCUACAUUAUCCAUCCUUGUACCCUCCUGGCAUCUAUAAACAUGAAAACUAAUCUUAAUUUAAAAAAUCCCACCCAGAGCAUUCAUUUGAAAAACAUUUAUGAACUAUCCACUGUGACUUUUCAAAGCACUGUAUGAAGUACUGAAGAUACUGGAAUUAAAAGGUACAGAAUACCAACUUGAGUUGCUAAUCUGAGACCAGCAAGGGAGGAGGGAGGCAAGAGAGCUGGAGGCCCUCCUCCCUGGGCGUCAUGUAGAGAAUCAGAGAUGUCUCUGAAAGCUGGCAUGCUCUUAUAGACAGAUCCAAACCUAAAGUGAAAGUCUACCUGCUUCUGUUUAUUUUUGAAAUGAAAGUAGAUUGAGUCAUAGGAUGUAAGCUUCUGAUGCACUGUAGAACUAAGUAUUCCCUGCUUGGUCUUCAUUUGUAUGAUGGAAAUAGUAGAUCUCAGGACUCUAUUUGGAACUAACAUUUUUAAAAAGGAGAAAUGUGAAAUACCACAGCAGAGGAGAGUGAAGAGGAGGGAGAGGACGAGGGGAGAGGACCAAGCAAACACUAAAGGAUGGACACAACUUAAACUGAAGCUCAAGAAGAAGCCACUUAAGGCUACAUGGCUACAAGAUGGUGAAAAGUGGUUUCACUCCAUCUUCUGAGGACCAAACCCAGGGCCUUGCACUUGCUACAUAAGCGCUCUAUCACUGAGCUAAA